rnacentral:rRNA from 1 species
GUCUUGGCCUGGAACUGUCGAGGACUGGGGUUGGACUCGACAGUUGGCGAACUGAGAGACCUGGUAUGGUCUUACAACCCAGCGGUGGUGUUCUUGUCAGAGACAAAGAAGAGUGCAAAAGCGAUGGAGAGACUCAAAUGGAGCAUUGGGUUCUCGCAAGGUGUGGCGGUGAGUUGUGCAGGAAAGAGUGGAGGAUUGGCGCUGUGGUGGAGAGAUCAUGUGAAGGUGAUGGUCAGACCUUGGUGUCAAUACUAUAUAGACUGUCAAAUGGAGAUGGAUGGGCGGAUCUAUAGGUUCACUGGAAUCUAUGGGGAGCCAUGUGUGGAAAGGAGGAAUAAAACUUGGGAAGCUUUGAGGUAUUUGAGGAAACAAGAUGAUCUUCCGUGGAUAUGUGUGGGAGAUUAUAAUGAGGCAAUGCUGUAG